rnacentral:lncRNA from 1 species
AUGGGCCGCGCUCACCCCGCAGCCCGGCCCGCACAGCGCCGCAGUCCCGAGCCGGCCCGGCGGGCGCACGGGCGGAUCCAUCGGGAGACCCUCCGGGCCGAGGGCUGCGGCUCACCCCGCGCCGCUCCGGCAGCAGGCCCCGCCGCGCCGCACGGCCCGCGGCGCUCCGCCGGCGCUCACCGGGCUGCGCCGCUUCAGCGUCACGUUCUUCCAGAGCAGGAGAUGAAGCUGGUGCAGGAACCCCAUGGCCGCGCCGGCCCCGCCGCAGGGACAGCCCCGCUCCGCUCCGCUCGGCGCCGCGGCUCAGCCACCUCCCACCGCCAUGCCCGGCGCGGGCUGCCGCUGCCGCUGCCGCCGCCGCCGCCGCCGCCGCCUUUGUCCGCAGCAGGCUCGGCUCGGCUCGGCUCGGCUCGGCUCGGCUCGGCUCGGCUCGGCUCGGCUCGGCUGGCAGCGGGCGUCCGUCCCCGCGUCCCCGGCCCGGCCCUGCGCAGCACCACCCCCGACCUGUGGUUGCCGCCCCUUAAAGGCACCGCCGGGACUCUGCUGCGGUGGCCGCGGGGGCCCGGGGCAGAGCUGCGCGGGGACGCUCGCACCUCGCGGACGCGCUGCGGGAUGCACAGCUCCGCCACCGUCGUCCGCAUCGGAGGCGUGCAGGGCAGCAGCAGCCUCUGCUCCUCUCUGGGAGCGCAGUCCCAGCACGGUUGGGUUGGAAAGGGACCUUACGGCCCCUGCCCCACCCCUGCCGUGGGCUGGCUGCCCCCCCAGCUCAGGCUGCACAGGGCCCAUCCACGUCCUUGGUACCUCCAGGCGUGGGCACCCACAGCUCUGGGCAGCAGUGGCGGUGGAUCCAUGGCACUGCGGGCCCCGCUGAGCCCGUGGCAGUCAUGGCACACGUCCUCACGCCGAGGAGUGUCCAGGAGAGUGCUUUCCCUUGGUGUAGCCCGGGGCACAAGUUAUUGGGAGGUUUACAUGGACCCAUCUCCUCCUGGCGGUUGCUUUUGUGUCACGGCAGCAACCCUCUUCCCUGCUGGAUGUGGCAUGCAGUGCCACGGACCCGCUGUGCCCACUCCCUGCAGCAAGGCUUGCCUAGGGGGCCGUGCUGGGGAUGAGCCUUUGGGGCUGCCCCCUCUGUUUUGCAGAAGAGCAGAGGCAGCUCCAGGGGCCAGGCUUGUGACCCUCAGCUGCACUGUUCCCCCUCCAUAG